rnacentral:rRNA from 1 species
GAUCAUUAAGAGUAAGGGUGCUCAGCGCCCGACCUCCAACCCUUUGUUGUUAAAACUACCUUGUUGCUUUGGCGGGACCGCUCGGUCUCGAGCCGCUGGGGAUUCGUCCCAGGCGAGCGCCCGCCAGAGUUAAACCAAACUCUUGUUAUUAAACCGGUCGUCUGAGUUAAAAUUUUGAAUAAAUCAAAACUUUCAACAACGGAUCUCUUGGUUCUCGCAUCGAUGAAGAACGCAGCGAAAUGCGAUAAGUAAUGUGAAUUGCAGAAUUCAGUGAAUCAUCGAAUCUUUGAACGCACAUUGCGCCCCUUGGUAUUCCGAGGGGCAUGCCUGUUCGAGCGUCAUUACACCACUCAAGCUAUGCUUGGUAUUGGGUGCCGUCCUUAGUUGGGCGCGCCUUAAAGACCUCGGCGAGGCCUCACCGGCUUUAGGCGUAGUAGAAUUUAUUCGAACGUCUGUCAAAGGAGAGGACUUCUGCCGACUGAAACCUUUUAUUUUUCUAGGUUGACCUCGGAUCAGGUAGGGAUACCCGCUGAACUUAAGCAUAUCA